GUUUUUUAGGGCAUUUCUAGGGUCCUUUAGGGCAUAAGGACCCUAGAAAUCACUGAGAAGGCAUGAGGAUGCAGUACUCCCUGUCUGCAUUAUUUCCGUCUCCUGAUAUUCAGCAUGAAUAGUUGCAGUGGAAAAC
rnacentral:snoRNA from 1 species